GUAGAGGGUGAACUUUCUAAAUCGAUGUUGGAGAACAAGAAGGGCUAUUUACUGGAAUAUGGUGCUGAGGGUUUGUUUGGAUUGGCCUGGUAACACAAGUGGAAGAGAGAAAAGCUGUCAGUCAAGCUGCUUAGGAAUUUAUAACCAAUUGAAAUAGGCCAAAGUCAACGUGCAUAGCCCGGGAUUUCCAAGGGUAUGAGACGCAUUCAUUCAAGUCCAACUUUGAGUCUUGGCCAUUAGGGACAGUGGCCUCUGCUGCUGAGGAACGAAGAGGAAAAGUAGCAGCUCUUUUGAAGCAACAAGGUAUCGGUCUCAAGGGAAUUGCAAAAGGAGCUCCUCCUGUAAAUGAAUAUCUCCCCCCCCCCCCCCCUUUGCUUGAAAGUGGUGGUAAAACUGAGGUAUGGCGCAUCAAUGGCAGUGCCAAGACCCCAGUUCUAAAAGAAGAAUCUGGUAAAUUUUACAGUGGAGAUUGCUACAUUGUUGUUUAUACAUACCACUCAGCCAUAAGAAA